rnacentral:rRNA from 1 species
UACGUAGGGUCCGAGCGUUGUCCGGAUUUAUUGGGCGUAAAGAGCUCGUAGGCGGCUUGUCGCGUCGAAUGUGAAAUCUCAGGGCUCAACUCUGACAUUGCAUUCGAUACGGGCAGGCUAGAGUUCGGUAGGGGAGACUGGAAUUCCUGGUGUAGCGGUGAAAUGCGCAGAUAUCAGGAGGAACACCGGUGGCGAAGGCGGGUCUCUGGGCAGUAACUGACGCUGAGGAGCGAAAGCGUGGGGAGCGAACAGG